CAGCCGCCACGGUAAUACAGAGGGUGCGAGCGUUAAUCGGAUUUACUGGGCGUAAAGCGUGCGUAGGCGGCUUCUUAAGUCGAAUGUGAAAUCCCUGAGCUUAACUUAGGAAUUGCAUUCGAUACUGGGAAGCUAGAGUAUGGGAGAGGAUGGUAGAAUUCCAGGUGUAGCGGUGAAAUGCGUAGAGAUCUGGAGGAAUACCGAUGGCGAAGGCAGCCAUCUGGCCUAAUACUGACGCUGAGGUACGAAAGCAUGGGGAGCAAACAGGAUUAGAUACCCCUGUAGUCCCUGUCUCUUAUAC
rnacentral:rRNA from 1 species